AUGGAUGAAUUAUUGUUACAGUUUGAAUCUAAAGCACAUGAAUGUCUACACUCUUUGACGCAAGUUUGCACAUAUUGUGUAAACCCUGCUAAGAGUGAUGCACUAUGGACUAGCUUCAGAAUAUGGAUGAAUUCCCGCUCCCUGGAAUUAAAAGAGAUUUUUUUUAAGGAUGCUCAGAAAAACUUCCAUGGAAGACUUUUAGGAGUCAUACAACAUCUUCUGAUGUUAUGUCAAUCGUGUUUUCUCCCUGCUCCUGAAUCAGAACAAGUUUUCUCUUAG